GGAAGUGACAUGGCAGGGAGACUCAUAUAUAAACAAGGGCAAGAAGGAAGUGGGCGCCUUCUCUCUUCCUCCAGAGUCACCAUGUGAUCCCUCAAUGAGGACACCAAUGGAAGGCAUCAUAAAUAAGGAAACAAAACAAAACCAGUCUGCCCUGGGAUUUGGAAAUAGGAUCCGAUUCUCUUGGAGCCUCCCGCUCACUGCUGGGAGCCGUGUGGGCAUGAGGGACAGACAGAGAUGCUGUAAAGAGGACCCCCUGCCUCCUGUCUGCAGACCAUAAUCCCUUCCUGAAGAGGAGGAUGCCUGUAUGUCUACUGGUGUGGCCCCAAAGGACACCUCUUGGCAAUGGAUGUGUUAUUGCAUUGAUAACAGACAACGGGUGAUGUUCCAGGAAAUUCUCUUCGAACAAAAGAAUUGGGGCUGCAGACACCUGACGCAUGAGUGUCUGGGAAGGCGCCUGCGGUCUCAAGGAUGCAUCAGACAGAAACAUUCUCCACGAUUAGAGAAGAGAACCCAUUUUGAACAAGGUGAUGGUUCUUCUCAGUUGUCAACUCGAGAUCUAGAGUCACCUGGGAAGCAGGUCUCUGGGCAUGCUGUAAGGUUCAUCAAACUGGGAAGGCGCUCCCACUGUGGAUGGCACCAUCCCCUGGACUGA
rnacentral:lncRNA from 1 species